rnacentral:rRNA from 1 species
CAGCAGCCGCGGUAAUACGUAGGGGGCUAGCGUUGUCCGGAAUCACUGGGCGUAAAGGGUUCGCAGGCGGAAAUGCAAGUCAGGUGUAAAAGGCAGUAGCUUAACUACUGUAAGCAUUUGAAACUGCAUAUCUUGAGAAGAGUAGAGGUAAGUGGAAUUUUUAGUGUAGCGAUGAAAUGCGUAGAUAUUAAAAAGAAUACCGGUGGCGAAGGCGACUUACUGGGCUCAUUCUGACGCUGAGGAACGAAAGCUUGGGUAGCAAACAGGAUUAGAUACCCUGGUAGUCCACGCUGUAAACGAUGAGUGCUAGGUAUCGGAAUAAUUCGGUGCCGCAGUUAACACAUUAAGCACUCCGCCUGGGGAGUACGUGCGCAAGCAUGAAACUCAAAGGAAUUGACGGGGACCCGCACAAGCAGCGGAGCAUGUGGUUUAAUUCGAAGCAACGCGAAGAACCUUACCAGGGCUUGACAUACUGAGGACCGGUAUAGAGAUAUACCCUCUUCUUCGGAAGCCUCAAUACAGGUGGUGCAUGGUUGUCGUCAGCUCGUGUCGUGAGAUGUUCAGUUAAGUCUGGCAACGAGCGCAACCCCUAUCUUUAGUUACCAGCAUUUCGGAUGGGGACUCUAAAGAGACUGCCGAUGAUAAAUCGGAGGAAGGUGGGGAUGACGUCAAAUCAUCAUGCCCUAUAUGCCCUGGGCUACACACGUGCUACAAUGGAAGAUACAAAGGGAAGCGAAAUAGUGAUAUUAAGCAAACCUCAAAAAGUCUUUCCCAGUUCGGAUUGUACUCUGCAACUCGAGUACAUGAAGAUGGAGUUGCUAGUAAUCGCAGAUCAGAAUGCUGCGGUGAAUGCGUUCCCGGGUCUUGUACACACCGCCCGUCACACCAUGGAAGCUUGUAAUACCCGAAGCCUGCGAGCAAACCGUAAGGAAGCAGCAGUCGAAGGUAGGAUAGGUGACUGGGGUGAAGUCGUAACAAGGUAGCCGUA